rnacentral:rRNA from 1 species
GACAGAGGGUGCAAACGUUGUUCGGAAUCACUGGGCGUAAAGCGGGUGUAGGCGGCUUGGCAAGUCGGAUGUGAAAUCCCGAGGCUUAACCUCGGACGUGCAUUCGAAACUGCUUGGCUAGAGUCCUGGAGAGGAAGGUGGAAUGCUUGGUGUAGAGGUGAAAUUCGUAGAUAUCAAGCGGAACACCGGUGGCGAAGGCGGCCUUCUGGACAGUGACUGACGCUGAGACCCGAAAGCGUGGGGAGCAAACAGG